rnacentral:sRNA from 1 species
GAACUCCAGGGCGUCUUCGCGGCCCUUCCGUGCCUCCAGCUCCACCUUCUUCUUCCAGCUAGUGCUCCUCCUGGGCCUGCUUCUGGCUGCAGUGCCCCUGGGCUAUGUGGUCAGCAGGUGAGGGGAAGAGGAGGGGGCACCCAGAGGCUGUCAGGGGCAGUUUCUCACCCAGGACCCUGACGCCAGCCCCUCUUGGCCAUCUCUCUCCAGCAUCCACUCCUCCUGGGACUGCGGCCUCUUCACCAACUACUCAGCACCCUGGCAAGUGGUCCCGGAGCUGGUGGCCCUUGGGCUCCCGCCCAUUGGCCAGCGUGCCCUCCACUACCUGGGCUCCCACGCCUUCAGCUUCCCCCUCCUCAUCAUGCUCAGCCUUGUCCUGACGGUGUGCAUCUCCCAGACCCAGGCCAAUGCCAGGGCCAUCCACAGGCUCCGGAAGCAGCUGGUGUGGGUUCAGGAGAAGUGGCACCUGGUGGAGGACCUGUCGCGACUGCUGCCGGAGCCAGGCCCGAGCGACUCUCCGGGCCCCAAGUACCCUGCCUCCCAAGCUUCGCGCCCGCAGUCCUUCUGCCCCGGAUUCCCAUGCCCUGGCUCCCGGGGCCCCCAGGCCCCGCGGCCGGGCCCCUCCGUCGUGGAUGCCGCGGGACUGCGUUCCUCUUGCCCUGGACAGCACGGUGCCCCGGCCUCCGCCCGCAGAUUCCGCUUCCCCAGCGGCGCGGAGCUGUAACCCCGACCCCUGCCUCCCCGAAGCCUCCCUGGGGCCCCUUCAGGUCUCCUUACUCCAUCUUCCAGACCCCUGGCGACCACCGCCCCUCUCAGUGCUCCAGGGCCUCCCUCAGAGGU